AUUGAACGCUGGCGGCAGGCCUAACACAUGCAAGUCGAGCGAGCGGCGGACGGGUGAGUAAUGUAUGGGGACUGCCCGAUAGAGGGGGAUAACUACUGGAAACGGUGGCUAAUACCGCAUACUAUAGGGUACCCCACAUGGGAUUAGCUAGUAGGUGGGGUAAAGGCCAACCUAGGGGACGAUCUCUAGCUGGUCUGAGAGGAUGAUAAGCCAAGCUGGGACUGAGACACGGCCCCGACUCCUACGGAUGCAGCAUUGGGGAAUAUUGCACAAGGGGCCCAAGCCUGAUGCAGCCAUGCCGCGUGUAUGAAGAAGGCCUUAGGGUUGUAAAGUACUUUCAGCGGGGAGGCGUUACCCGCAGAAGAAGCACCGGCUAACUCCGUGCCAGCAGCCGCGGUAAUUC
rnacentral:rRNA from 1 species